rnacentral:lncRNA from 1 species
CAGAAAUCUCACUGCUUACAUGCUGGACAGACUACUUGGACACAGGCUUCUUGGCAUUGAGCAUUUUUGUAUGAGAGUGAGUAUGCAGAUAAACCAAAGAUGAAACAUGCAAAUCCUGGAAAAGAGAAAGAACUGAAACAUUCAGCUGCUAUUAAGGAUAAAGAACAUGCUAAAGAAAAGGAAGGAAAGAAUUCUACAGCUUUAAAAGAUAAAGAGAUUACUGUGGUGGAAGAUAAAAGAAAAAGAGAGUAAGAGAAGAGACCCAAAACUCAAAUUCCUCUGUUUCAAGAGCUUCUUUAGAACCCAUGGAAAGGAGUUUGCCAGCCCUAAGCAAGCUUCUGCAUCAUUCUUCUCUCCUACAACAAUUGUUUUAACAAUUGCACUAUUUAAAGAAGAGACAGGGAAAAUAAAUCCUUGAAGAUAUCUCUGGGAUGCUCUGCA